rnacentral:rRNA from 1 species
UCGAAAGAGAACCGUAACACAGGUGCUGCAUGGCUGUCGUCAGCUCGUGUCGUGAGAUGUUGGGUUAAGUCCCGCAACGAGCGCAACCCUUGUCAUUAGUUGCUACAUUUAGUUGGGCACUCUAAUGAGACUGCCGGUGACAAACCGGAGGAAGUGGGAUGACGUCAAGUCCUCAUGGCCCUUAUAGGUGGGGCUACACACGUCAUACAAUGGCCGGUACAAAGGGCUGCCAACCCGCGAGGGGGAGCCAAUCCCAUAAAACCGGUCGUAGUCCGGAUCGCAGUCUGCAACUCGACUGCGUGAAGUCGGAAUCGCUAGUAAUCGUGGAUCAGAAUGUCACGGUGAAUACGUUCUCGGGGUUU